rnacentral:rRNA from 1 species
CGCGGCCUAUCAGCUUGUUGGUGAGGUAAUGGCUCACCAAGGCAUCGACGGGUAGCUGGUCUGAGAGGACGAUCAGCCACACUGGGACUGAGACACGGCCCAGACUCCUACGGGAGGCAGCAGUAGGGAAUCUUGCGCAAUGGGGGCAACCCUGACGCAGCAACGCCGCGUGUGGGAUGACGGCUUUCGGGUUGUAAACCACUUUCAGUGAUGACGAAAAUGACGGUAAUCACAGAAGAAGGUCCGGCCAACUACGUGCCAGCAGCCGCGGUAACACGUAGGGACCAAGCGUUGUCCGGAUUUAUUGGGCGUAAAGAGCUCGUAGGCGGUUCAGUUAGUCGGGUGUGAAAACUCUGGGCUCAACCCAGAGACGCCACUCGAUACUGCUGUGACUAGAGUGCGGUAGGGGAGCGGGGAAUUCCUAGUGUAGCGGUGAAAUGCGCAGAUAUUAGGAGGAACACCAGUGGCGAAGGCGCCGCUCUGGGCCGUAACUGACGCUGAGGAGCGAAAGCGUGGGUAGCAAACAGGAUUAGAUACCCUGGUAGUCCACGCCGUAAACGUUGGGCACUAGGUGUGGGUCUCAACCAACGAGAUCCGCGCCGUCGCUAACGCAUUAAGUGCCCCGCCUGGGGAGUACGG